rnacentral:rRNA from 1 species
AUGGGUUGUAAACUGCUUUUAUGUGGGAAUAAAKUGGCGCACGUGUGCGCCAUUGCAUGUACCUCAUGAAUAAGGACCGGCUAAUUCCGUGCCAGCAGCCGCGGUAAUACGGAAGGUCCGGGCGUUAUCCGGAUUUAUUGGGUUUAAAGGGAGUGUAGGCGGUCUGUUAAGCGUGUUGUGAAAUUUAGGUGCUCAACAUUUAACUUGCAGCGCGAACUGUCAGACKUGAGUACACGCAGCGCAGGCGGAAUUCAUGGUGUAGCGGUGAAAUGCUUAGAUAUCAUGAGGAACUCCGAUCGCGAAGGCAGCCUGCGGGAGUGUKACUGACGCUUAAGCUCGAAGGUGCGGGUAUCGAACAGGAUUAGAUACCCUGGUAGUCCGCACGGUAAACGAUGGAUGCCCGCCGUUGGCGCCCUGCGCCUGCGGCCAAGCGAAAGCAUUAAGCAUCCCACCUGGGGAGUACGCCGGCAACGGUGAAACUCAAAGGAAUUGACGGGGGCCCGCACAAGCGGAGGAACAUGUGGUUUAAUUCGAUGAUACGCGAGGAACCUUACCCGGGCUUGAAUUGCAGUCGCUGCCCACAGAGACGUGGGCUUCCCUUCGGGGCGUCUGKGAAGGUGCUGCAUGGUUGUCGUCAGCUCGUGCCGUGAGGUGUCGGCUUAAGUGCCAUAACGAGCGCAACCCCCUUUCCCAGUUGCCAUCGGGUKAUGCCGGGCACUCUGGGGACACUGCCACCGCAAGGUGCGAGGAAGGUGGGGAUGACGUCAAAUCAGCACGGCCCUUACGUCCGGGGCUACACACGUGUUACAAUGGCCGGUACAGAGGGACGGUGCAAUGCAAGUUGCAUCCAAUCUUGAAAUCCGGUCCCAGUUCGGACUGGGGUCUGCAACCCGACCCCACGAAGCUGGAUUCGCUAGUAAUCGCGCAUCAGCCAUGGCGCGGUGAAUACGUUCCCGGGCCUUGUACACACCGCCCGUCAAGCCAUGAAAGCCGGGGKUGCCUGAAGUUCGUGACCGCGAGGAGCGAC